rnacentral:rRNA from 1 species
AUUGAACGCUGGCGGCAGGCCUAACACAUGCAAGUCGAACGAGUGGCGGACGGGUGAGUAAUGUCUGGUAAACUGCCCGAUGGAGGGGGAUAACUACUGGAAACGGUAGCUAAUACCGCAUACCAUCGGAUGUGCCCAGAUGGGAUUAGCUAGUUGGUGGGGUAACGGCUCACAUAGGCGACGAUCCCUAGCUGGGCUGAGAGGAUGACCAGCCAAACUGGAAAUGAGACAGGGGACAGACGCCUACGGGAGGUAGAAGUGGGGAAUAUUGCACAAGGGGCGAAAGCCGGAUGCAGCCAUGCCGCGUGUAGUAAGAAGGCCGUGGGGUUGUAAAGGACUUUCAGCGAGGAGGCGUUACUCGCAGAAGAAGCACCGGCUAACUCCGUGCCAGCAGCCGCGGUAAUAC